rnacentral:rRNA from 1 species
GUCUACACCCAUGCCACCCUGAAUGUGCCCAAUGUUGUCUGAUCUCAGAAGCUAAGCAGGGUUGGGCCUGGUUAGUACUUGGAUGGGAGACCACUUAGGAAGACCAGGUGCUGUAGGCA